GCCAUUUCUUGGGCCACUCCCAUGGCAUAUGGAGGUUCUCAGGCUAGGGGUCUAAUCGGAGCUGUAGCUGCCGGCCACAGCCACAGCAACGUGGGAUCCGAGCCACAUCUGCAACCUACACCACAGCUCAAGGCAACGCCGGAUCGUUAACCCACUGAGCAAGGGCAGGGAUCAAACUCGCAACCUCAUGGUUCCUAGUUGGAUUCGUUAACCACUGCGCCACAACGAGAACUCCGUCUUAAAAAAUUUUAAAGAUUUGCCUUUCACAUUGUCCUUAAUCCAUCUGGAAUUAAUUUAAAUGUGUGGUUCUUGCCAGGGAUCUGAUUUCAUGUUUCCCAUUUAGAGACCAAAUUGUCCCAGCACCAUUUGUCACCUAUUUCUUUUUUUUCCUCUCAGUGGUUUGUCUGUCACUUUGAUGUGUUUCAACUUCCAUAUAGGUGUGGCCUGUUCCUAUGCUCUCUGUUCCAGUGCCUUUAUCUGUCUAUUGGUUUAUACUGAAAGUGCCAAUGCUACACUAAGUUAUUAUUGUGUGAAUGAGUCUAUUGCUAUUCCUCACUGUCCCUUCCUCUUGCAGAGAAAGAUUGUGCUUCCCUGCCACAUUCAUGGUGGGCUUGGACUUGAUUCCACCAAGUAAAUGUUAAUAGAAGUAACAUGUACCAUGUCUGAACAGAAUCUAUAAAAAUCCAGGUGUGAUUCAAGCAGACCUGACAGCCUGGCAGCUGUGAUGUGCUGCUCCCUCUUGAGAACCUGAGAUGGAGAUGUAUGUGUGGGACAGUGAGAUAUAUGAGUGGGAAAUAAAGUUUGUGCUUUUCAGGUGAUUUUUCAGCUGGGUUUUAUUACAGAAGAUAACCCAGUAGAAUCUGAUAUACACAAGGUUCAAUUACUUAACCUAACAUACACAGAAUGCUAUAGCAAGGCUUGAUAGGUCUGAGUAAAUCACCCACUAAUUUUUCUUAGAGAAAUUGUUGGCCAUUUGCUCAUUCAUGCAAAUUUUAGAAUCAACUCCUAAGUCUCCAUUCCACCAAAACCCUCUUAAUAUUUGUUUAUGAUACCAUCAUAUAUACAGAUAUAUUUUGAGGGAUUUGAAUCAGCAAUCAGACUUCUUAUCAGGGAAUGUCUUCAUUUAUUUGGGUCUUUUUCAAUGCCAUUCAUUUAUAUUUCCCUGUGAAGAUCCCUAUGAAGAUUUCUCUUCUCUUAAUACCUUAUAUUUCUGCUGCUAGUCUAAACGACAUUUUCAAAUAGAGUUUUUAAACAGUUUAUUGGUAUUGUGAAGAAGUGUAUUUACUGGCUGAUAUAUUCACUCAACUUGCUAAGCGCUCUUAUUUUCAAAAAUUAACUGUAAAAUCUGUUGGGUUAGUAUAAAAAUUCAGAAAACAAAAACACAUUGUGCUGACUACUUCUCCAAUGAGCAGAGCUACAAUAGAGGCAUUCUUGAUUUCAAAAAGAAUGCUUCCAACACAUCACCAUUAAGAAUUAUAUUUAUUAUAAACCAAUGGGAUCUAAUCAAGCUGACAAGCUUUUGCACAGCAAAGGAAACCAAAAAGAAAACAAAAAGACAACUUACAGAAUGGGAGAAAAUAGUUUCAAGUGAUGCAACCAACAAGGGCUUAAUCUCUAAAAUAUACAACAGCUUAUACAACUCAACAGCAAAAAAGCCAACAACCCAAUGGAAAAAUGGGCAAUAGACCUGAAUAGACUUGUCUCCAAAGAAGAUAUACAGAUGGCCCACAAGCACAUGAAAAAAUGCUCAACAUCCCUGAUUAUUAGAGAAAUGCAAAUCAAAACUACCACGAGCUACCACCUCACACCAGUCAGAAUGGCCAUCAUUAAUAAGUCCACAAAUAACAAAUGCUGGAGCGGGUGUGGAGAAAAGGAAACCCUCCUGCACUGUUGGUGGGAAUGUAAGCUGGUACAACCACUAUGGAGAACAGUAUGGAGGUACCUCAGAAAACCAGACAUAGAACUACCUACCGUUUGACACAGCAAUCCCACUCUUGGGCAUAUAUCCAGACAAAACUUUCCUUGAAAAAGACACAUGCACCCGCAUGUUCAUUGCAGCACUAGUCACAAUAGCCAGUACAUGGAAACAUCCCAAAUGUCCAUCAACAGAUGAUUGGAUUAGGAAGAUGUGGUAUAUAUAUACAAUAGAAUACUACUCAGCCAUAAAAAGAACAAAAUAAUGCCAUUUGCAGCAACAUGGAUGGAACUAGAGACUCUCAUCCUGAGUGAAGUAAGUCAGAAAGAGAAAGACAAAUACUAUAUGAUAUCACAUAUCUGGAAUCUAAUAUGCGGCACAAAUGAACCUUUCCACAGAAAAAAUCAUGGGCUUAGAGAAUAGACUUGUGGUUGCCAAGGGGGAAGGGGUGGGAAUGGGAUGGAUUGGAAGCUUGAGGAUAAUGGAUGCAAACUAUUGCUUUUGGAAUGGAUUAGCAAUGAGAUCCUGCUGUGUAGCACUGGGAACUAUGUCUAGUCACUUAUGAUGGAGCAUGAGAAUGUGAGAAAAAAGAAUCUAUCCAUAUAUGUGAAACUGGGUCACCAUGCUGUACAGUGGAAAACUGACAGAACACUGUAAACCAAGUAUAACGGAAAAAAUAAAAAUCAUUAUACAUAUUAAAAAAAGAAUGAUAUUUAUUGGUCAUUGGGCACCUGCUGUAUAACACAGGCAACUCUACCCAAUAUUCUGUAAUAACCUAUAAAGGAAAAGAAUCUGGGGAAAAAAAGGGUAUGUGUAUAUGUAUUAACUGAUUCAUUUUGUUGUUCAGGAGGGAACCCACAUCACAGUAGCGACCCAAACCACUGCAGUGACAACACUGGAUCCUUAACUCACUGUGCCACAAGAGAACUCCAUGAAUGAGUGUGGAAUUUUAUCUAAAUUUUUUCUGUAUAAUUUUUGAGAAAUAUAUAUUUAUCUCCAACUGAAUUAAUACAGCUGAAAUAAUAUUAACAAAUAUUAAUAUUUGUAAAUAGGCCCAAAUUGGCCAUGAUAAUUUUUUAAAGUAUUGCUGGAUUAAGUUUAGUAUUAGUUUAGAUUUUUUUGGCCUAUGAUCAAUUUCCUAUUUUUGUGCUGUUCUUAUCUGGAUUUGAUAUUAGGUAAGACCAGCUUCAUAAAAUGCACAAGGGAGUAUUACAUUGUCUUUGGAAAGACUUUGAACAUGAUCACACUAAUCUGCUUCUUGAACAUUUGGUAUAUCUCCUAUACUUGGUGUUUUCUUUGUAUGAAGUCUUUAAAUUACUGGAUACAAUAUAUUUAAUAUUUACUUAAUGCUAUGGACUGAAUUGUGCCCCUCCUUCCAAAUUAAUAUAAUCCUAAUGUGACUGCAUUUGGAUGUUGGGCCUUUACAGAGGUGAUUAGGUUAAAUGAGGUCAUAAGGAUUGGACCCUAAUCCUAUAGAUCUGGUGUCCUCAUAAGAAAAGUCACCAUGGCUAUCUUCCCACACAGUCACAAUGAAUGCCCAGUAGAGGACACAGAGGGAAGGGAGCCAUAUGCAAUCCAGGAAGAAGCCUCAAUAGAAACCAACCCUGCUGACACCUCAAUGUUGGUCAUUGUUUCUUGAAAUCUUCUCCUUUCAUCUGGGUUCAGCUUCCCUCCUUCUGAAACACAUUCUUUAGUAGUUCUUUCACCAAGGUUGUGAAGGUUUCAACUUAGGCUUUGUACCUCUGAAAAUAUCUGUUUUGUGCUCACUCUUGCAUAAUAGUUCAGUUAAAUACAAAAUUCUAAGUAGACAGAUUAUUAUCGAGGCCCUAGAAGUUCUAUAAUUUCACUAUGUGAACAGCACAUUAGGGAUUUGAUUUCUCACAUUCAUAUUCAUUAAUGGGCUCUCCUCAUAGAAGAAAAGUUUGCUUUGGGGACCAUUAUCCAGAGCUUUAAUGUCUAUUCUGAAUCUCAUCUUUUGCACCUCAGACUCAUCAUAAUUUUGUUCCUUUACAAUCUUAUCUGUGUGAAGAUGCUCCCUAACCUUGAGGAAAAGCACAGAGCUUUAUCACCUUGUAUCCCCACACUCUCUCCCCUCAAGGGCAUCCAGAACAUUUACUGAGUUAAGGAAGAAAGGAAGGAACAGGGACUCAGUUCCUCUAGGAGUCUCUCUUCCCCUCUUUAAUCUGCUAAACUGAAUGGGAGCCAUUCUCCUGGCUGCCACUGCAAUAACUCCUGAGACUCCAUGUCCAUCUCCCCUCAUCCUCCUUACAGGGGAAAGUCCUACGUGGGCCAAGCCCUGGCCUGAAUGUAGCCACUCAGAAGGCAUUCCCUCCCGUCGCCACCCUUCAGGCCCUGGCCUGUCCCAGCCUCCAUGGGCAGGUAAAUUCCCUGACACCUUCGCAUUCUGUGAAGUCACAGAACUCACCAUUACUUGGCACAAUGCUGCCAUUUCAGAACUUAGGAGGGCCAGGAAAGGCAAAGAGGCCGAGGCUCUGCUCCAGCGAAGUCUGGGAGACUCUCAGGGCGCCACAAAGAUGGAGCUCCCGCGGCGCUCAGCCUGGACGGGGAGGAAAGUCCUGGGAGCUGGGCAACGCACGGAGGAUCCGCAGCUGCAAGGCACGGACCAUCUGAGGAAUCUGGCUGUCGCCCGGGUCCCACUGACCCAAAAAGGAAGAAGUCGCGGCGCAGGGGGCGAGUGAACAGCGGCAAGUGCAGCCUCCGCUGUGGCCCAGACGCCACCUCCAAAGGCAGCGGCGGCUGAGCGCACUGUGGAGCGGCCCGAGUCAGGGCACCCUCCUCGGUCCCUCAGCUGGGAGGCGCCGAGCGAGGCCGGAGCCAGUGGGACGCAGGGCCUGGGUCUUCCGAGCUGAGUUCGUGGGAGGGCCAGGCUCCGCCGAGAGGCCGCGAAACCGGCGCUCGCCCUCGCGUUCGGGGCCUCUGGCCGGCGUUGUCCAGGAAGCGC
rnacentral:lncRNA from 1 species